GACACGGUCCAAACUCCUACGGGAGGCAGCAGUGAGGAAUAUUGGUCAAUGGACGAAAGUCUGAACCAGCCAAGUAGCGUGCAGGAAGACGGCCCUCUGGGUUGUAAACUGCUUUUAGUUGGGAAUAAAGUGCACCACGUGUGGUGUUUUGUAUGUACCAUCAGAAAAAGGACCGGCUAAUUCCGUGCCAGCAGCCGCGGUAAUACGGAAGGUCCAGGCGUUAUCCGGAUUUAUUGGGUUUAAAGGGAGCGCAGGCGGACCUUUAAGUCAGCUGUGAAAUACGGCGGCUCAACCGUCGAACUGCAGUUGAUACUGGAGGUCUUGAGUGCACACAGGGAUACUGGAAUUCAUGGUGUAGCGGUGAAAUGCUCAGAUAUCAUGAAGAACUCCAAUCGCGAAGGCAGGUAUCCGGGGUGCAACUGACGCUGAGGCUCGAAAGUGCGGGUAUCAAACAGGAUUAGAUACCCUGGUAGUCCGCACAGUAAACGAUGAAUACUCGCGAUUUGCGAUACAUUGUAAGUCGCCAAGCGAAAGCGUUAAGUAUUCCACCUGGGGAGUACGCCGGCAACGGUGAAACUCAAAGGAAUUGACGGGGGCCCGCACAAGCGGAGGAACAUGUGGUUUAAUUCGAUGAUACGCGAGGAACCUUACCCGGGCUUGAACUGCCAGUGACGUAUGCAGAGACGCAUAUUUCUUCGGACACUGGUGGAGGUGCUGCAUGGUUGUCGUCAGCUCGUGCCGUGAGGUGUCGGCUUAAGUGCCAUAACGAGCGCAACCCUCAUCCUCGUUUGCCAUCAGGUGAUGCUGGGCACUCCGGGGAUACUGCCAUCGUAAGAUGUGAGGAAGGUGGGGAUGACGUCAAAUCAGCACGGCCCUUACGUCCGGGGCUACACACGUGUUACAAUGGGCGGUACAGAGGGCAGCUACCUGGUGACAGGACGCUAAUCCUCAAAGCCGUUCUCAGUUCGGACUGGAGUCUGCAACCCGACUCCACGAAGCUGGAUUCGCUAGUAAUCGCGCAUCAGCCAUGGCGCGGUGAAUACGUUCCCGGGCCUUGUACACACCGCCCGUCAAGCCAUGAAAGCCGGGGGCGCCUAAAGUCCGUGACCGUAAGGAGCGGCCUAGGGCGAAACUGGUAAUUGGGGCUAAGUCGUAACAAGGUAGCCGUACCGGAAGGUGCGGCUG
rnacentral:rRNA from 1 species